rnacentral:tRNA from 1 species
UGACAUAUAGUAUAAAGGUAAUACACAUUACUACGGAUAAUGAUAUAGGUGUUCGAAUCCCCUUAUGUCAU